UGAUAAACUUAACAAAACUGGUGAAGA
rnacentral:sRNA from 1 species